rnacentral:rRNA from 1 species
GAUAAACGCUGGCGGCGUGCAUAACACAUGCAAGUCGAACGAAGUGGCGAACGGGUGAGUAACACGUGAGUAACCUGCCUUACACAAGGGGAUAGCCUUUGGAAACGAAGAAUAAUACCCUAUGGUUUAAGAUGGACUUGCGUCUGAUUAGCUAGUUGGUGAGAUAAAGGCCCACCAAGGCAACGAUCAGUAGCCGGCUUGAGAGAGUGGACGGCAACAUUGGGACUGAGAAACGGCCCAAACUCUACGGGAGGCAGAAGUGGGGAAUCAUGCACAAUGGGGGAAACCAUGAUGCAGCGACGCCGCGUGAUUUAGAAGGCCUUCGGGUUGUAAAAAUCUUUUUUAUGGGAUACAGUACCAGAAGAAUAAGGUCCGGCUAAAUACGUGCCAGCAGCCGCGGUAAUAA